CCUACGGGUGGCAGCAGUGGGGAAUAUUGCGCAAUGGGCGAAAGCCUGACGCAGCGACGCCGCGUGAGGGAUGAAGGUCCUCGGAUUGUAAACCUCCGUCAGCCGGGAAGCAAGGUCACUGUGCUAAUCAGCAGUGAAUUGACGGUAAAUGCAAAGGAAGCACCGGCUAACUCCGUGCCAGCAGCCGCGGUAAUACGGAGGGUGCGAGCGUUAAUCGGACUUACUGGGCGUAAAGUGCUCGUAGGCGGUCAGUCAAGUCAAGGGUGAAAUCCCCGCGCUCAACGUGGGAACUGCCUUUGAAACUGGCAGACUGGAGUGUGUGAGAGGAUAGUGGAAUUCCUGGUGUAGGAGUGAAAUGCGUAGAUAUAUGGAAGAACAUCAGUGGCGAAGGCGGAUAACUGGCACAUAACUGACGCUGAGGAGCGAAAGCGUGGGUAGCAAACAGGAUUAGAUACCCGAGUAGUC
rnacentral:rRNA from 1 species